rnacentral:misc_RNA from 1 species
GAAAUGCGAUAAGUAAUGUGAAUUGCAGAAUUCAGUGAAUCAUCGAAUCUUUGAACGCACAUUGCGCCCGCCAGUAUUCUGGCGGGCAUGCCUGUUCGAGCGUCAUUUCAACCAUCAAGCCCCCGGCUUGUGUUGGGGACCUGCGGCUGCCCGCAGGCCCUGAAAAACAGUGGCGGGCUCGCUGUCACACCGAGCGUAGUAGCAUACAUUCUCGCUCAGGGCGUGCUGCGGGUUCCGGCCGUUAAACGAACUUCAUAACCCAAGGUUGACCUCGGAUCAGGUAGGAAGACCCGCUGAACUUAAGC